UCCGGCUUAACGCCGGCAGUCCCGCUAGAGUCCCCGGCAUGACCCGAUGGUAACUAACGGUAAGGGUUUCGCUCGUUAGAGGACUUAACCCGACACUUCACAGCACGAGCUGACGACAGCCAUGCAACACCUGUGCUUGUUUCACCCUUGCGGGUAGCGCAAACGCAUUACCGUCGCGCAUCCAAGCAUGUCAAACCUGGGUAAGGUUCUUCGCGUUGCUUCGAAUUAAGCCACAUGCUCCACCGCUUGUGUGAGCCCCCGUCAAUUCCUUUGAGUUUUAGCCUUGCGGCCGUACUCCCCAGGCGGCACACUAACCAGUUUUCCUUCGGCGGCGGGGGCGUCAGAGCCUCCGUCACCUAGUGUGCAUCGUUUACAGCGUGGACUAC
rnacentral:misc_RNA from 1 species